UGAAGUUGUUUGCUACGUGACAUUCCCUCUUAACUUCUUGUGAGUGAUUAUGAUUGACUACAGCUGGUGACUUCUCUGAGCCCGCUUAAAUCGGGCAUGUUUGAUAUACUCUUUAUACUCAGCCACAGACGCAACAAUGGGAAAGUCUAACGAGCUCGGCACGGAUCUGAAAAAGCGGAUCAUUGACUUGAACAAGUCAGGAAAGUCACUUAGAGCCAUUUCAAAGCAGCUACAGGUCCUAAGAUCCACAGCACAAACACCUGUUUAUACGGGACAUGUCCACCUGGUCCCUGCGGAAGAUGUCGAACUCAUCAUCAUCAAAGACGUUGGAUCUGAUGCUCAGAACAUCUGGAAGCUCCUCCUUCACUGGCCUGAAAGGACAGAAGACGAAUCAAACACAGCAGUAUCAUGACAAGAUUCAUUUUUCAUUCACCCUUAACUUAUUGCCCACUCCAUUUACCCCAAAUGAUCUGCACAACACAUUUUGGAUUCGUACAGUAAACAGUGACACUUUUGAUUAUCAGUUUAAUUACUAAGUUAGCAAGAUUCACAGAUUUUAGCUUCUAAAAGGAGAUCAUCUCAAUCUUAUAUUAAUGUAAAAUAUUUUUGAGCUUUGGACUCUUGGUGCAGCACGAUCCAGAAUAUAAAUAGCAGAAUUGUAUGUAGAGGCCUUCCCAGUGAAUGAUGGUGUUUACCUUGGCAUGGCUCGGUCCAGUUUGUCCAGGUUGGGGGCCAAGCGAUCCUCCAGGAUGUUGUUGAUGACCAGCUCAGAGUUGUAGUCGUACUCCUCCAGGCAGGCCAGCACGAAGCCUUCGCCCAAAUCCGGCAGCAGGUCCUUGAUACACGACAGCAGAGACUCAAGCUCGGCCUCGCUCACUGUACACACUGCACCCUGAUGACACACAACACCCAAAAUAAUAAAGUACAGUAACAAAGUCGGAUUGGGUUGUCUCUCCAUCCCCCCCCACCCCAAAUUUGCAGCUACUUUGAAAACCACACUUUUAUCAUUCGGCUAAUUUAUGUAAUUUUCUUUCUGCACUGUAAUGCACCAUUACUUGUAUUCUUACACCUUUAUUUAUUUAUGUAUUUUAUGCUUUGCAAAAUUCAGAUUAAGCACCUUUUCCUUAGCAUUUGAAAAAUGCUACACAAACAAACUUGCCUGACCCUAUGUACCAGUUCUAAAUGUAGUCCCAUUUGUUUUAUUCCUUUAGUCAAAUU